rnacentral:rRNA from 1 species
GAUGAACGCUAGCGGCAGGCCUAAUACAUGCAAGUCGAACGGUAACAGGUUCUUCGGAAUGCUGACGAGUGGCGCACGGGUGCGUAACGCGUAUGCGACCUACCCAUCACAGGGGGAUAGGCUGUGGAAACACGGAUUAAUACCCCAUAUUACACUUUCAUUACAUGAUGGGAGUAGUUAAAGGAUUAUCUGGUGAUGGAUGGGCAUGCGUUCCAUUAGCUAUUAGGUGAGGUAACGGCUCACCUAGGCGAUGAUGGAUAGGGGUUCUGAGAGGAAGAUCCCCCACACUGGUACUGAGACACGGGCCAG